GAUGCAGUCCAGGCUGCUGGCUGUGUUAUGCACACUGGCGGCCUUCAUCCACCUUGGCUCCAGCGAUGCGGACAAGGUUCGUCAAUCUCCGAGUACAGUGUUUGGAGAGGAGGGACAGUCUGUGACCUUGGACUGCAGCUUCGCACUCAACUAUAACUACUAUGUGAUGAACUGGUAUCACCAGCCUCCCAACGGAAAGAUGACUCAAAUCAUUAGCAUGUUUUCUGAUAGCAGCAGCCAAAAGUAAGGACGAUAUGCUCUGUCCUUUCAGAAAGGAAGCAAAUCCCUAAAGCUGACCAUCACGGGCUUGC